GAACAGUAAUUCAGGACUGAACUGGAGCCCAGCAUCAGUUUUGGGCUGUGGAUACCAAUACAGCUAUGGGGCCUCAAAGGAACAUGGUGAAGUCAUUGCAGGACACCUGCUGACUCCAACACAGAGCGACAGCAUUCCUCCUGCUGCGUGACGUGGAGCUUGUGAGUUUGUUUUCCAAAAAUGUGCAGUGAGACUUUCAGCAAAUCAGCUGAGGAUUUACAAAGAGGAAAGAGAAUUAGGCUAACAAAAAAAGAAGAAACAUCUCAUAUUGGAGAUAAUAGGCAAGUGGUUUGAAAAGUUUAGAUGGUCUCUUGGAAAAAGUGAAACAACUCAGAUCCUUCACU
rnacentral:lncRNA from 1 species